GAUGAACGCUGGCGGCGUGCCUAAUACAUGCAAGUCGAGCGAACAGACGAGGAGCUUGCUCCUCUGACGUUAGCGGCGGACGGGUGAGUAACACGUGGAUAACCUACCUAUAAGACUGGGAUAACUUCGGGAAACCGGAGCUAAUACCGGAUAAUAUAUUGAACCGCAUGGUUCAAUAGUGAAAGACGGUUUUGCUGUCACUUAUAGAUGGAUCCGCGCCGCAUUAGCUAGUUGGUAAGGUAACGGCUUACCAAGGCGACGAUGCGUAGCCGACCUGAGAGGGUGAACCGGCACACCUGAACUGAGAACCGGUCCCGACUCCCAAGGGAGGGAGGCGGAGGGAAACUUCCCGCAUGGGCGAAAGGCUGAAGGAGGAACGGCGCGUGGGUGAUGAAGGUUUUUGGAUUGGAAAACUCUUUUAUUAGGGAAGAACAAAUGUGUAAGUAACUAUGCACGUCUUGACGGUACCUAAUCAGAAAGCCACGGCUAACUACGUG
rnacentral:rRNA from 1 species